AAAAAAUUUUGCUCAUCCAUGUACUUCCCACCAUGAUGUGCUGGCUCACCACAGGCCCCAAAGCAACAGGGCCAACCACGCAUGACCUGGAACCUCCAAACCUGUGAGCCAAAACAAAACUUUGACUUUAUAAGCUCAUCUACUGUUCCCAGUUAACACAUAAGUUUCAAAGCCUUCAUCCUUUAUUGGACUCAUCCAGCAAGUUUCUUUUCUGUCUGAGGGAUCCCUGGAAUGAUCACAUGGAGUGCAGAGCUGGUGAGUUCACAUGAAGCAGGAAGAGCAAUGCCAAGCACCAGAGAAAGGAAACACACUUUCCUGACUGUCCAUGAUGAUUGUCAUGAUAUCUUCAGUGGCUCCAGGGUACAGACUUUCCCAAACCAAAUCAACAUCAUUUUACAAAUGAGAAAAGAAUUCAAAACUAAGAGUAGAAGUGACUAUUUUCUAUCAAGAAUAAUUUAUCAAAUACUUAUUGACCACUUAUUUUGUAUGAGAUAGAUGGGGAACAUAAUUUCAUUGUAUACAAAAUGUAAAAGCAUGAUCCCUGCUCUAAAUAUGUUUGGGAUAUAAUAAAGAAAAAAAGGCAAGCUCAGGCAGAGCCGAGGCCAAGGAUUUUGUUUCCAA